UGAUUAAAUUUGUUUCUCAAGGAUCGAUGU
rnacentral:piRNA from 1 species